GGCAUGGUGGCUUGGUGGUUAGCGCAUUUGUCUCACACUUGUGGGGUUAGGGGUUCAAAUCCCACCUCUGCCU